CCAAUGGCAGCCGCAAGCAGCUGUGGGAGGUCAUGAGGACUGUGUGGCCACUACCUGGUGGGAUGGCAGGGAUGCAGGUACUCUCCAUGAGACAGUCCUGAAGGUCCCCAACCCAGGGAGCCCAAGAGCCCCGCUUCUGCUUGGAGCCUCCUCUCCCUGCCUCUGGAGUCUCUCUGGCCACUGGAGGGCUAGGCUAAGUCAGGGAAGCUCACAGACCUCUUCUCCCAUCACGGAGUUGCAGACUGGCGGGUAAGAGACAGACAGACUAAAGCCUUGCCAGGAACCCAGGCCUCCUCACCACUCUUGGGUCAGGGGCUGCCUCCCUUCUGUCAUCCCCUCCAAGACAAAGCACCUGCUGAGACCCAGCUGAUGCUGCUCCAUGGAUACGAGCAGCCAGAUGAAAAAAGCCACAAAACUGCCUCAGCAAAAACAAGAAGAAGAACAGAUUCAGACUGAAUUCUAGCCUCGCCUUGCUGCUUAAGGGAAACCACACUACCUUCUGAGGCUCAGGCCCAGCACCUGCACAAUGGGAAUAACCUCCUUCUUGCAAACUGAAAGGGCUCCCCACAAGGACAUGAUCAUUAACAAUAAUGGAAGAGCUGGGCUGAGGGUGGGGAAGGACUCGGGACCAGGAACUGGGCAAGAGCAAGGGUGUGUACACACAUGUGUGUGCAGAGUGCAGGAAGCCAGGAGAGCCUCUCCCUGUCCGCUGCCAACAGGAAAAGGUUACGGGGCCAUUUCCAUUGUCAACUGAGAACCACAUACACAAUCCUGCUCAAACUUGUCUGAAGCCCCAGAGCUAGCAAGUGGCAGAGAGGGGAUGUGAAUGUGGGGCUAACUGCUGAGGCCACAGUGCCUCCGUUACACUACAAUGGUGGCCUCUGGGUGGGUCAUUCCCAGGGCCCCAGAUGUCUUCAUUGCAUCCUAGCUGCAGCUGACACCAACGACCCACCCAACUCUCAUCAAACCAGCAACCACCUACACAUGCUCUCAAGAUCCCCUAGUUCAACGAAUGCCAACCACAGCAGUAUUACUGCCAGGGAGCAUGUGGGUGUUCCACCUACCACAAUGAUUUGACUUGGAGAUCUGGGAUGCAAACUGUCCUGAGUGCCUGGGGCAGUCCUACACAAUGCAAAACUGUCCAGCCUAAAAAGCUUUGGGGUGCUGCUGGAAGUUGAAAAAAUAAAAAUAAAUAAAUAAAAA
rnacentral:lncRNA from 1 species